GCUGUAAAAUGAAUAAGGUCUGAGGAUCUAAUGUAAAAAUGAUGACUAUAGUUGAUAACACUGUUAAUAACUGAAAUUUGCUAAAAGAGUAGAACUGAAGUACUCUUAGAGAGAGGUGGGGGAGAGAGAGAUGUGAGGUGAUGAAUGUAUAACUAGAUGGUGGGAAUUCUUUCACAAUGUAUACCUACUUCAAAUCACCAUGAUGCAUAUU